GAUGAACGCUGACAGAAUGCUUAACACAUGCAAGUCAACUUGAACUUCGGUUUGGGUGGCGGACGGGUGAGUAACGCGUAAAGAACUUGCCUCACAGCUAGGGACAACAUUUGGAAACGAAUGCUAAUACCUGAUAUUAUGAUUAUAUGGCAUCGUAUAAUUAUGAAAGCUAUAUGCGCUGUGAGAGAGCUUUGCGUCCCAUUAGCUAGUUGGAGAGGUAACAGCUCACCAAGGCGAUGAUGGGUAGCCGGCCUGAGAGGGUGAUCGGCCACAAGGGGACUGAGACACGGCCCUUACUCCUACGGGAGGCAGCAGUGGGGAAUAUUGGACAAUGGACCGAGAGUCUGAUCUAGCAAUUCUGUGUGCACGAUGAAGUUUUUCGGAAUGUAAAGUGCUUUCAGUUGGGAAGAAAAAAAUGACGGUACCAACAGAAGAAGUGACGGCUAAAUACGUG
rnacentral:rRNA from 1 species